GCUCAACCAAAGAAGUGCAUUGGAAACUGGGAGACUUGAGUGCAGAAGAGGACAGUGGAACUCCAUGUGUAGCGGUGAAAUGCGUAGAUAUAUGGAAGGACACCAGUGGCGAAGGCGGCUGUCUGGUCUGCAACUGACGCUGAGGCUCGAAAGCAUGGGUAGCGAACAGGAUUAGAUACCCUGGUAGUCCAUGCCGUAAACGAUGAUUACUAAGUGUUGGAGGGUUUCCGCCCUUCAGUGCUGCAGCUAACGCAUUAAGUAAUCCGCCUGGGGAGUACGACCGCAAGGUUGAAACUCAAAAGAAUUGACGGGGGCCCGCACAAGCGGUGGAGCAUGUGGUUUAAUUCGAAGCUACGCGAAGAACCUUACCAGGUCUUGACAUCUUCUGACAGUCUAAGAGAUUAGAGGUUCCCUUCGGGGACAGAAUGACAGGUGGUGCGUGGUUGUCGUCAGCUCGUGUCGUGAGAUGUUGGGUUAAGUCCCGCAACGAGCGCAACCCUUAUUACUAGUUGCCAGCAUUAAGUUGGGCACUCUAGUGAGACUGCCGGUGACAAACCGGAGGAAGGUGGGGACGACGUCAAAUCAUCAUGCCCCUUAUGACCUGGGCUACACACGUGCUACAAUGGAUGGUACAACG
rnacentral:rRNA from 1 species